rnacentral:tRNA from 1 species
GGGCGCUUAGCUCAGUUGGUAGAGCACCUCGUUUACACCGAGGGUGUCGGGAGUUCGAGUCUCUCAGCGCCUACCA